rnacentral:rRNA from 1 species
AUUGAACGCUGGCGGCAGGCCUAACACAUGCAAGUCGAACGAGGGGCGGACGGGAGUGUAAUGUCUGGGAAACUGCCCGAUGGAGGGGGAUAACUACUGGAAACGGUAGCUAAUACCGCAUACCAUCGGAUGUGCCCAGAUGGGAUUAGCUAGGAGGUGGGGUAACGGCUCACCUAGGCGACGAUCCCUAGCUGGUCUGAGAGGAUGACCAGCCACACGGGAACUGAGACACGGUCCAGACUCCUACGGGAGGCAGCAGUGGGGAAUAUUGCACAAUGGGCGCAAGCCUGAUGCAGCCAUGCCGCGUGUAUGAAGAAGGCCUUCGGUUUGUAAAGUACUUUCAGCGAGGAGGCGUUACUCGCAGAAGAAGCACCGGCUAACUCCGUGCCAGCAGCCGCGGUAAUUC